ACCACCUGCAAAGCAGCGAGGGGCAUGCCAGGACUGAGAACACUGCCAUGCCCCUGGAAACAGCGGCCCCUUCGCACAGCCUCGCUGGGCCUCUGCGGGAAGGAGCCCGCACUGUCCCCUCCGCCAGCCCCGAGCUCGCCGCCCAGCGGCCCCACAGCAGAAAGGGUUCUGGCAGUUCGGGGGAGUUAUUUACCGGGGGUGGGAUUUACAGAAUGGAGAAAACAAAGACCGAGCUUCCGCAAGCAGGUUUGUGUUUUCGUUUAAGAAACGAGGGCACCUUGUCCUCACUUUCACUCAGGAGGGCAGCUCUGCGAGCUGCUCACAAGGCCCUGAGCCGCGCUGCGGGGAGACCUCGCUCCACCACACUUCCAGAAUCCAUGUCUCACAAACCCAUGGUCUGGGGAGACCCUGUGCCCAGCAGGUCUGUCGGCGGCAUUUCCCAACAGCACCUGCUCACUUCCUGUCUGUGUCACAUCUUGGAAAUUCUCACAGUAUUUCAAACCCUCCACCAGCACAGAGAUUAACACCUGCUGGAGGUCCAGGGUGGUCAGCGCUUGUUAGCAACGACACAUCUCUUAAAUGCAGUCUGUCUGUUUCUAGACAGUGCUCCUGCAGAGACCACGUGCGCCUCCCUUCACCAAGGCGCUCACUGUGCUGGGGUCUGGAUCUCAGCACACAGCCUCCCCGGAGCCUGACAAAUGGUAACGGCCGCCCCUACUUCUGUUUGGGCCGAGAGGAGCGCACGGAAGGAAUCUCUAACCUGUCUCCCGGUUUUGCUCAGUCUCUGCUGCUCCACCCGACCCAGCUGACAACCACCCGGUCUCACGACUUGGCUUGGAGUCCAGCCCCUCCCAACCCUGCAGACUUGCCACGUCUGGUCCUGCCCGACACGCUCGCCACACUGCUGGCUCCGACACCAGCUACAGACGCACUGGGCGAAUUCAACAGGGCGGGGAGCCUUCCGUUUAUCGGUUUUGUGUGCCAGCCUCCCUCCAGCGGUGCGACGGGCCUCAGACCCAGUGGACCAUGCUCUGGGGGUAGGCCCACAGCUAUCCCGCACUGGAUGUCCCGAUCAAGGUCUCCCAGGGCUCCUAGCAGCACUGGGACGAGGACAGAUGGCUGCCCUUCCUCCAGGGACGGUCACUCACCUACUGAAAGCCAACCACACCUGCAUGGCCAGAGCAAGGCCCUGUCCUACACGCUGCAGGUGGUGCGAGGGGUCUGGGUGCUGACCAGGGUAAGGAAGCUGGCCUGGUCAGAGGUCAGCUGGGGGCCUGCCACAGACUCCUGGUGACCCAGCAGACGGAGGACAGAGAUGGACAGCAGCCGGGGGGCACCCACCUUGUAGUGCCCGUUGUUGGCCGCGUCGUGCAAGGGCGUGUCAUCGUCCAGGCCCUUGGUGUUCACCUCCGCGCCCGCGGCCAGCAGCUGCUUCGCCACGUCGUAGUAGCCCCGGUUACAGGCCUCGUGCAGCGCAGUCCAGCCUGGAAACAGACACUCACACGUAGGUUAUUUAACUCCCGAGGAGCACGUCCAGCCGGAAGGCCCUGCGUGUCGAGCAUGGGGCGCCCCGGUUUGCUCAGUGAUCUCUAGACAGUGACCCUAUGGCUAACAGCCUGAAAGAGUCAUCUGGACCAGCAGCCUGACGCGGACGCAGGACUGGCGGACGCACAGUGUCAUCCAUGAACGCUCAGGUAGGAAGAAUCUGGUUUUGGAAACAGGAAAGCAGGCAGCGCGCUGAGGCCUCGUGGGGGAGUGGCUGCACACAAUGUACACACAGGGCCGCCUGGGGACACAGACUCCAGUGGUUUGGAAAAACCUGAUUUAGGGAAAUUAUUUUUUUCUUUUCUUUUUUUUCUUUAACAAAGAGGCGCUAAAUCAGGUUUGGGUCAGACGACCUAGGAUUCCGUACAGAGAAGGCUUCCUGGUCCCACGUACGCCCGCCACUCUGAAGGCACAGCUCUGGGACCUGCCGCCGCCGCCGCCCGCCAAGGCCUCCUGUGCACAAAGGCAGCCCCAAGCCACCACCACAGACCUUGAAGAGCCUCCAUUUCAUGCCAUGGCGCUUCGAGGAGCGAACCAGCCUUGCAGUACCACGGCGUGGACUGAGCUGGAGGCAUCUAAAGGCAUCAACACAGAGCACUAACGAGAUACCGGGGACAGCCCGGCGCUCCCCUCUCAGCCUCCUCGUAACAAGCACAUCCUCCACGCGCCGGCCCCUUACCAUGCGCCCUGCCAACCGCGACAGACACAGGGGGUGCCGUUUCUUUUAAAAGGGGCAAGGAAGACGGGCAGAAGAGACACCCCAACUCCAUGAAUCAGGAGCCAAAAGCUCACUCUCCUCCACACAGAGCCUCUUGCUCAUGGGAAACCGGGAAUCCACCGAGAGCCUCAGACUCCUCCCCUGCUGCCCUGUGCAUCCUGGGGGAGCCCUGGGGCGUUCUAGGUGACAGGCUGCCAACUGCAGGUGGGAAGCAGGGUUGCCACGGGGGCCUUGGGUCUGGGGGGGGUGUCUCCCUGCCCUCCAGGUCUGCUCAGCAGCCCCCACAGGACGUGUGUCUGAACACACGGCAGAUUCCACUCCUAGGGCAACACCCUGCUGCUGCUCACCACCUGACCCCACAAAUGUGUCAUCUUCUAUUUCCUUAAGAGAGUUUCCUAUAAACCGCUACUUCCUGAAAAAGUAUUAUUUUUCAACUGCCUUUUUAAAAACUAAAGUGGUGACUUGCUGAGAAUGCUGACCUGUGCGGUUUAGGUGGUAACUUUCCGGGCACCACAGGCCACUGCCGCCAGCAGCAACUGGUUUUUAACCAACAGACAAGGCACAGGUCCAAGCACGGAGUAAAUUCCAGCAAGAAUGCCCCUCGUGGACGACCAAGGACCCCACUCACCCACGCCUCCCCCCGGCCCCACCCAACCUCGUGAAGGCAGUGACGGGGUGGCUGAAUGAGGCGUGGCCCGGCGGCAGGACCUUCGUGGCAGCUGGGACCAAGAGCACCAGGAAGGUCUGACCAGCUGAGCCACCUGCGCACUCAGUCCCGGACCUGGUCCGGGCAGCGGGGUCAGAAGCACGCCCACAGCUGAGUGCUGCACGGAGGGCCUGCGGCCCUGCUUGCCCCGCCGUGACCCGGGCCCCACUUCACCUAGUCUCCCAGGAAGCCCUGCCUGGUCUCAGACCACCGAAAGCCCAGCCUCUCAGGACUCCAACCCCCGAGCACACACCAAUCCAGAGCCCACAGAGAACAGGACGGACGUGGAACCUCAGCACAGCACACAAAGCCUGUGCUUCCUGCAGUGUGGACAACGCCAGAGACAGAGCAGCAGCAGGAGUCAAGCAGGCAGACCAGCCCCACCUCUCUGCUGCAUGUGUGUCUCCAAGACAGACAGUCCAGUGGUUUUUAAGACGCCAGAGGAACCUAGCAGAAGGGCACAGCCUCUGUCUUCAGGUGACCGUGAGGGCAGUGCCCACCCAGGGGGCAGGGCCUAGCGGCACCGGGCCUGCAGUCUCAGGAAGGGACAAAGGUCACGUGUGGACUACGUGCGGGGUGGGCAGGCAGCCAUACGAGUCCACACAGUCACAGGACACAUGGAUGACACAGGUCUCCCCGAGCUCAGCACAGGAAACAAACCAAAAUGUGAUCACACCUCCUAAGUCAGUUUCUCAGGCACUGCAGUGGCUGGCAUCUAGAAAAGUGUUAAGUCCAGCCAGGCUGGGCGUCUCAGGGGGCCGGGCCCACAGAGCCCACUGCAGGGGAGCUGAGGCCCGGGGCCCUGGUGCUGCAGGUGGGCCCCUCCUGCCACAUGCCUCCCGCUGGCAAGGGCCAACCUGGAGGCCAACCCAGGGGAGGCCGACCUCUCGGACCCUGAAGAAGGAGGCCACAAAACCUCCGGCCCCGAGCUGGGCAGUGAGCCUCGCUGCCAGCACUGAGGCGGGGACAAGGCAGAGGAGGCGCACCGAGACAAGGGGCAAGCCCCUCUGGCCUCCACUAAGGUUCUGCGUGUCACACCCAAGCGGAAGCAGAAGAGAACCUGCACAGAUUCCAGAUGGCGUGUCCCAGUCAGACUGCAGAGCGGGCUGGAUCGGCCUGUGGCAGGUGGGGGCUGCAGAGGGCAGGACUUCUUGCUGGGUCGGCCCUCCCGGCCAUCAGAUCUCCUCAUCCCUAGGGUGGCAUCAGCGGUGCCCUGUCCCCAGGCUGCAGCACAUGGUGACGUGGUAACACCUGUGUCUCCGUCAUGCCAUUGUGCCUGGGCUCAUCCCCUCACAGUCCAGCAUCUUCUCCGUGCUGCUCUGUGGCUUCACGUCACUCCCACUCCCGUGUGGAACCCUCUCUCCCCGCAGGCCGCCCUGGUGCUCCUCCUUCACAGCCCUGGGCCGCCCCGUCUCCAGCCUCCAAGCCAUCCCGGGGCUGUCCCUCUUGGAGCCUCCGUCCAGGCGCGUCUUUAGCGUCACCUCCAGCUCACUUGUUCUUGCUUAUGUCCAGUCUGGCCCCUGAGUGUUCACUGUCAGUGAUAACUUUCGUUUCCUUUGCUCCGUUUCACAUUUAAACCUGUCUGACCUUUCUGUUCCAUCCUGCCGCCAUCACUGUCUCUAAUCCUCGCCAGAACCCUGGGGCCCAGGAAGCAGCACAGAGGCCCGUCUCUCCAGCCAGAGGGGAGCGAGGGGAAUGCCCCACGGCAGCGCACGUGGAGGGCCAGCCCCGCGGGGGCAGGACAGCCUGACUCUCAAGGAGGCCAUUUUGAGCCAGAAGAUACAAAGGCCCUUGCUUAGGGACAGUGUCCUCUGGCUGAGGUGUCCACAGGUUUGGCCUCCAUGGCCCUGACCUUGUGAGGCUCUCAGCCUGUCCACUGCCCACCAAAGCCCUGGGGCUAGCAGCCAGGGCAGGGACACCCACCAUCUUUCAUCUCUAGGCUUUUCCCACAGAGGAAUUUUGGGGGAGACAGUUUACCACACUACCCAAAAUGGGAAACCUCCCACUCCUCUGUCCCACGUGAAGCCCUCAGGUGUCAACAUCGUCUUGGCUCCACCCCUCGGAGGGCAUCUGUGGUCUCCUGUCAACUCACAGGCCCCCACGUCAGGGAGGCCUGGCAGGUGGUGAGCACUGGGGACACUGCUGCCCCGAGGGCGUCCUGUCCCUCUUGGCCUCAGGAGCACACCUUCCACACCAAACAGGGCCUGAUGCGGAUGUGCAGCCAGGAAG